GAUGAACGCUGGCGGCAUGCCUAAUACAUGCAAGUCGAACGAGAGGAAGGAAAGCUUGCUUUUCUGAAUCUAGUGGCGAACGGGUGAGUAACACGUAGGUAACCUGCCCAUGUGCCCGGGAUAACUUCUGGAAACGGAUGCUAAAACCGGAUAGGUAGCAGACAAGCAUUUGACUGCUAUUAAAGUGGCUAAGGCCAUGAACAUGGAUGGACCUGCGGUGCAUUAGCUAGUUGGUGAGGUAACGGCCCACCAAGGCGAAGAUGCAUAGCCGGCCUGAGAGGGCGGACGGCCACAUUGGGAAUGGGACACGGCCCAAACUCCUACGGGAGGCAGCAGUAGGGAAUUUUCGUCAAUGGGGGGAACCCUGAACGAGCAAUGCCGCGUGAGUGAGGAAGGUCUUCGGAUCGUAAAGCUCUGUUGUAAGAGAAAAACGACAUUCAUAGGGAAUGAUGAGUGAGUGAUGGUAUCUUACCAGAAAGUCACGGCUAACUACGUGCCAGCAGCCGCAGUAA
rnacentral:rRNA from 1 species